rnacentral:rRNA from 1 species
AUGGAUCUGCUUCUGAUCGAUGAGGCUGCACAGCUCAAGGAAUGUGAAUCCCUCAUCCCAUUGCAAGUCUCCGGACUCAAGCAUGCAGUUCUUAUCGGCGACGAGCGCCAACUGCCGGCCAUGGUCCAAAGCAAGGUUUCAGAUAAGGCGUUGCUGGGCAGGAGCCUGUUUGAGAGACUGUUUACUAGGACACAAGAAGCACCUCCUCAACAUGCAGUACAGGAUGCACCCUUCCGUAAGCAUCUUCCCCAACUUGAGCUUCUACGACAGGCAAAUCUUGAAUGGCCCCAAUGUGUCGGAGACGAAGCACCAACGUAG